UACGAAGGGGGCUAGCGUUGUUCGGAUUUACUGGGCGUAAAGCGCACGUAGGCGGAUUGUUAAGUCAGGGGUGAAAUCCUGGAGCUCAACUCCAGAACUGCCUUUGAUACUGGCAAUCUUGAGUCCGGAAGAGGUGAGUGGAACUCCUAGUGUAGAGGUGAAAUUCGUAGAUAUUCGGAGGAACACCAGUGGCGAAGGCGGCUUACUGGUCCAUUACUGACGCUGAGGUGCGAAAGCGUGGGGAGCAAACAGG
rnacentral:rRNA from 1 species